rnacentral:lncRNA from 1 species
CAACCUAUACAAGGUGCUGCUCGCUUUCUCUCAGCCACUAGUGGCUUAUGUAGUGGUCGGCAUUCCUACGUGCUCCUCGCCCCCCUACUUAAGAAUCCAAAUGUCACAUUUGGAUGUUGUCGUGACGCUUUGGUUACGAAGGUUACCGGGGUCUAGGUUUAUGGAUGGAAAACAACUUUCACGUUCGGUUCAGAGAGCACUUUUUUCGUUGAGAAUUCCUCGUUCCCUUUCGUGUGAAUUCCCCAACGGUGAAUUAAAAACUUGUAGAAUCAAUGAUAAAUAGACAAAAGAUAGAUGAACGAGAUAUCUUUUUUUCUCUAAAAAAAAUGGAGAGAGAAAGAGCAGAUGCUCAAUAGCACU